CCUACGGGACGCACCAGUCGAGAAUAGCUCACAAUGGACGAAAGCCUGAUGGUGCAACGCCGCGUGGAGGAUGAAGGUCUUCGGAUUGUAAACUCCUGUCAUCGGGAAGAAAGACCUGGAGGUGAAUAGCCUACAGGGUUGAUAGUACCCGAAGAGGAAGGGACGACUAACUUCGUGCCAGCAGCCGCGGUAAUACGAAGGUCCCAAGCGUUGUUCGGAAUCACUGGGCGUAAAGGGAGCGUAGGCGGCGUGGUAAGUCAGGUGUGAAAUCCCGGGGCUCAACCCCGGAACUGCACCCGAUACUGCCGUGCUUGAGGGUUGGAGAGGUAGCUGGAAUUCUCGGUGUAGCAGUGAAAUGCGUGGAUAUCGAGAGGAACACUCGUGGCGAAGGCGAGCUACUGGACAACAUCUGACGCUGAGGCUCGAAGGCCAGGGGAGCAAAAGGGAUUAGAUACCCUUGUAGUC
rnacentral:rRNA from 1 species